GGUCUGCCUGAAGUCACAGUUCAUCUUAAAUGGAGUAUGUGUAAUAUGGAGGGGUUAUAUUGAUCUCAACAGGCUUGAUGGUGUCGGUCAUGUUGAAUUUGAUUCUCAUAGAGCGAAGGAAGAAGAUGAAAUAUACCGCGCCACAAUGGAACAGCAAAACAGGAGACUUCGGGAGUUUGAGGAGAGAACGAUGUUACAUCGAAAAGAAUUUGAACAACAAGUUGGAAGAGAGGUGAGCACGUGAGAUUGUCCCAACAUAAAUAUCACUUUGCAAUGCCAUAGAAUAUUCCUUGUGUUAAAAUAUCGGACUUUGUCAUGGACUUGGCGCGCCGAGGGAGGGAGAGAGUGAUGAUGAGGGUUCACCUUUGUUCGCGCCACUGCUACAAAGUGUCUUCUGAAAUGAUUGUAUUUUUGAUAAGUUUCUCGUCCAGAUUUUGCGAUUUUAUUUCGUCUUUUCAGAAGAGUGCCAGGGAGGAAUGGAGUGUUGGAUGUCGUUGGUUUUUUUCCCCAACUGAAAGAACUAUUUUUGUCUGUGUAUUUAUGUAUAUUUAUAGAUAAAAACAACUUUGAAAUGUUAUGACGGUUGAUGUAUAUAAAGGGAUAAUUUAUUUAAGUUACAAAAUAAUGUAUGAAAGAAACUGUUUUUUUAAUGUAGGUAUUUAGAGUUAGAAUAGAAUAUUUCUUUUUUGUGUAGCAGAACCAACAGUGAAGUGGCGAUAUUUGUGCAAAUUGGUUGGAUUAUUUAGUAUUACUAUUGAUAUUUUGUCGGCAAUAAGACAAAAAGUACAUUCUUAAAUAAAACAUUGGUCAAAAUAAUUCACAUAUCGGUGAAUACGUGUCCGACAAAAAAGAAUAACUUGUCCAAAUCAACCAAAUUAUUUCUUGAAAAUUUACCGAACCAUGGUUCAUGUUUAGACAUUUUCACCAACAAAUUGGUUAUUUGGACUAUUUUUGAAGGGUGUAAAUGUGAAGCAUGUUUGCAUGAAGAAGGCACACCGUUAGUUUAUGCAAUACUACAAACAUUAAACUUUAUUUUGACAUUUCACCAGUUAGUAGUAUCGAUUGCUAGUUACAUGUUCUUUCGCACAUUGUGGAAAUUGACCAUGAAGUAUAUAGUUGAUUAAAUCUGAUACUGUAUCAUGUUCUGUAUAUAACUCAAUUUCUUCUGGAAGAAAUUUCAACAUUAUUUUAAUAUUUGUACUGAAUACAUUUAAUGUGUAUAUUUGAAAUUUCCAUUGUGUUUUUUUAUUGCUGAUAAAGAUAUCUAAUUUCUUGUUUUUUUGACCAAGUCAAAAAGUUGACUUAUUGUUUGAUUAUUUCAUACAAAGAUAAGAAUAAAACAGAAAAUAUUUUAUGCUUUUUUAUGGAAAACCCCACUUACCUGAUUAUGUUUCUAACCGUAUUGAUCUUAAGAAAAAUAUAAAAAAUUUGUAUAAUUUUACUUUGAUAUCCUUAUUUCUGUUUAGAAAGAAUUAAUUCCGCCUCAAUUUGAAUUAGAUUUUAUUUUACGUCCUUAUCUGAAAUAAGUAUUUAACUUCAAUUGUAAAAACAACUAUGAACGUAAGUGGUUCGGAAACGUUCAUGAUAACUAAUAUUAAUGAUAUAUGCAAAUGUUUUCAAAAAAUCUAUUCGAAUUGAGAUGUGAUUAAUUGGCUUAAGAUACUGAAAUUUAGUAAAUAACCUAGCUGAAAUUCCCCAUGUUAACGUGGAAUAAUGGUCAUGAAAGAGAUAUCCAUUGGAUAUGUAUGUUGUUGUGAUGCUGGACAUGAUCUUAAGAAGAAUGCAAGUGAAAUUCGUACCCAUUUUUGUUAUUCAAGGGCAGAUCUUUUGUCAAUAUACCAGUCUUCCCAUUUUUAUGUGUAAUUUUUCUUCGACGAAAUGAAAGAGAAGUAUGUGUGAAAUAAAUUAUGUACAAACUACAUUUCUUUUCAUAACGUGAA